UCUUUAUUCAUUAGGGGAAGGUUCUGCUACAGAAUAAAGUCCUGGGGGAAGUGCAGAAGGAGUUGCAAGAAUGACAUUGUCCCCACGGACAUCUUCUAGUGACAGUCUCCCAGUAGUCACAAGAUAGAGAUGCCAAUCUGCCCAAAGCAGUUGUGUUAGUUGUGUUCCUUAACGUGAAUCUUUGCUAUUGGAGUUGUAAUGAAUUUUUUCUUAUGAGUGUAUAUCUGAGACUCCCAUCUUACAGAAGGCCUUUUACCUGCUUUCUUUACUCUUCCUGAAGUUCUAUACUGUCUACUUAUUUGCUAAUACAAAUGCUUCUCUUACAUUUAAAUUUUUGAGUUUCAAAGUUUUGCUCUUUGUAUUUUGUUUCUUCCCUCACUGUCUUACUGCAUAUAUUUUUCUAAACUCCCAACUUAGUUACAGAAUUUCAUUCAUUCUACACAUCUGUCAUUUGAGGUUUCUUUCUUGAAAGAAAACCACAAACUGAAAAUUUAGAUGUAUCAUAUAACAUAAUAAAAUGGCCAAUUCCAUACAUAAACACUAGAUUAAAAUAUUCAAGC
rnacentral:lncRNA from 1 species